rnacentral:rRNA from 1 species
UACGUAGGGUGCAAGCGUUGUCCGGAAUUAUUGGGCGUAAAGAGCUCGUAGGCGGUUUGUCGCGUCGAAUGUGAAAACCCGGGGCUCAACCCCGGGCCUGCAUUCGAUACGGGCAGACUAGAGUUCGGUAGGGGAGUCUGGAAUUCCUGGUGUAGCGGUGAAAUGCGCAGAUAUCAGGAGGAACACCGGUGGCGAAGGCGGGACUCUGGGCCGAUACCGACGCUGAGGAGCGAAAGCGUGGGGAGCAAACAGG